UUAAUUGUCUUUUACCCGUUUGAAAUUAGAAUCCCUAAAUUGAAGGGGGAUUUUAUGUGAUUUAUUGCAUAUUAUUUUCUUACUCUUUUCUAGUUUUCUUACUCAGACCUCCUUGAACCUUCAGUUCAACACCUUUAACUUACAUUACUCACACACUUACAAUUCAGUACUUCUUUGAGUUCAAUACUCGAGCACAAAUUAUUCACUUGCAAUUUAAAUACUCUUGCAACAUUCUGCUCUCUUCUGAGAUCCUUUGG
rnacentral:lncRNA from 1 species